rnacentral:rRNA from 1 species
UGGGGAAUAUUGGACAAUGGGCGCAAGCCUGAUCCAGCCAUGCCGCGUGAGUGAUGAAGGCCCUAGGGUUGUAAAGCUCUUUCACCGGUGAAGAUAAUGACGGUAACCGGAGAAGAAGCCCCGGCUAACUUCGUGCCAGCAGCCGCGGUAAUACGAAGGGGGCUAGCGUUGUUCGGAUUUACUGGGCGUAAAGCGCACGUAGGCGGACUUUUAAGUCAGGGGUGAAAUCCCGGGGCUCAACCCCGGAACUGCCUUUGAUACUGGAAGUCUUGAGUAUGGUAGAGGUGAGUGGAAUUCCGAGUGUAGAGGUGAAAUUCGUAGAUAUUCGGAGGAACACCAGUGGCGAAGGCGGCUCACUGGACCAUUACUGACGCUGAGGUGCGAAAGCGUGGGUAGCAAACAGG